UUGGACCUGAUAUCAAGC
rnacentral:rRNA from 1 species